GAGUCUAGGUUUUGAUUAGAAACACUAGCAUUUGGAAUCAAAUACUCCUGGAUUUGAGCCUCACCCAUAUGACUCUGAAUAUGUCCCCCAACCUCAGUUUCCUCAUUGGUAACCUUCCUACUAUGCCCUUUGUUUUUAAAUCUCUCUCAACUCUGCCUACUUCUCCACUGUCCCCACCUUAGUCCACAUCACCAUCUGUUCUCAUUUGGGCUGCUGAAACCAUAUCCUGAAAGGUCUUUUCCAUGACUGCUCUAACCUGCUUCAGCUAGAAAGGACUUUGAAAAAUGUUCAUCUGAUGCUGUGUCUUCCUGCUUAACAACCUCCAAUGGCUUCCCAUUGAGUGCAGUGGGACGAUCUCAGCUCACUGCAACCUCCGCUUCCCGGGUUCAAGAGAUUCUCCUGCCUCAGCCUCCCGAGUAGCUGGGACUGCAGGCAUGUGCCACCAUGCCCGGCUAAUUUUUUGUAUUUUUAGUAGAGAUGGGGUUUCACCGUGUUAGCCAGGAUGGUCUCCAUCUCUUGACCUCAUGAUCUGCCCACCAGGGCCUCCCAAAGUGCUGGGAUCACAGGCAUGAGACACCGUGCCCAGGCCUUUCUUUUGAGACAGAGUCUCCUGACAUUCUAAACUUUUGUCCAUAGGAGUCACUUGUUUACUGUCAACCUCCUCAAGAACAGGGACCAGGUUUGUUUUGUUCACCACUGUCUUUUCUGGAUUUAGCACAGUGCUAGGCAAAUAAUAGAUUUCCAAUAAAUAUUUGUUGAGUAAAUGAUUUAUGACUAUUAUUUAUGGUUAAGUAUGAAUUGAGAGCAAUUUCAACAAUUGAGAAGUACCUAGUUCAUUAAUAUGCAUCUUUUAAAAAUAGUUUCUACAUACAACAUUGUGUUAAGCAUCUUCUUGAUGAAAUGUAACAUAUAACUAAAAGCAUAACAACUUGAAAGGGUUGUAGAGG
rnacentral:lncRNA from 1 species